rnacentral:lncRNA from 1 species
CACAAAGCAAUGGAGGCCGGAAGUGGGAUUUUGUGAAGUUCUAGAAUGUUUUUAGACAUUCGGAAGUCGGGAUUGAAACGGGCAUUAGAAAUUUGGCAUUUUUUUAGCAAUAAUUGAGAACAACAAUGAAAACUUACCUUCAGAAAUGUUUUUUUAUUCAAAAGUUUAGAAAAAACGUAUUCUACAUUGUUUUUCUACGCCGGAAGUAGCGUAGUGACGUCAAUGCGGAGUUUCCCCGUGUGUUAAGUUCAAACACAAAUACCUAACGAACUGACAAGAUGAACGAUUUUAGACUACGGUAGGAUAGUCCUAAAUUAA